rnacentral:rRNA from 1 species
AAUAUAAGAAAUAUUCAGAGUACGUGACACCGUUCGGGGGUAAACCUGCGAAACUCGAAUGAACGAACGGAAAGAUUCAUCGUCAUUCCUCGGCGUACGGACGCGCGCCUCGAUGCCUUCGGUCGUUUCACGGCCGUUGGCACGGGUCGCGUCCGUCGACGUCCGAGGACGGCGUGCACUUCUCUCUUAGUAAAUACAUCGCGACCCGUUCGAUGUCGGUCUAAGCGCCGUACGGGAGCCCCGUUGACCCUUCGCGGGGCCAGUGGGACCGCGACGGUGGCCGACCGGCCGUCGGACGGUAGUUCUGACGAAUCGCGCACGCGUUCUGUACGCGUCCGGCCCGACGCAAGUCAACGUCGUAUCAUACGUCUACGCCAUAGUGCGGACGUGUGUGCGGCGCGUCUGGUGUCGCAGCCGUGCUGUCUCGGACUGUGCGCGUCUCUGUCUGCGAUGAUCAGUUCGGCACUCCCGGGUUC